UUCCCCUGCACACUCUCUCUUGCCUGCCACCACGUAAGACAUGCCUUUGCUCUUCCUUUGCCUUCUGCCAUGAUUGUGAGGCCUCCCCAGCCAUGUGGAACUGAGUCCAUUCAACCUCUUUUUCUUUAUAAAUUACCCAGCCUUGGGUAUUUCUUCAUAGCAGUAUGAGAAUGGACUAAUAUCCCGUGGUUGUCAAUUCCAGAAGUGAAGCAUGUGUAUCCAUUCUUGUCGCGAGCAGAAGAGAGCGUGAUGUGAGUACUGGGGCACUGAGGCAAGCCCCAGAAGCAGAUGGCAGCCACAGCUGGCCUGGAGGGCCUGUCCCAGUGAGGGAGCUGCCCGAGCCACUCCUGCCCUGCUCCACCCACUGCACCUGCCUCCGGAGAGCCUCUUCCCACACUCCACACCAAUUCCACCUUGCCUAGGCAGCGCCAAAGCACCUUCUCUGAAAGCUGUUAAGUGAAGGCUGUGACUUCAGCCCCUUAGAUUCAGACUCAGUUGAUCUUCCUGUGCUGAGACCCUCUAGCAGAAUCACAACAGAGAGACACGUGACCUCUGGACACUAUGCUGAGCCCCGAGCAUGGAUUGCCUGGAACACUUCAUUACUUGAAACACAGAGCAAGAAGCAGAAGUUACAAAUCAGGUGUUCUCUUUAAGAAGCUGUAUGGAGAGUUUGUCCUUACACUUGAAUAGUUGCUUCAUUACCUCCCUUAUCUCAGAAGGACAUGCACAGUAAGGUUAUGAAGAACUGGCUUCCAAAUAAUAUUAAGAGCAAGUCACCUAGACUGGAACCAGCAGGUCCAUAUGGCAGACCAGGGACAGCGGGAAGAACACCUAAGUGGAACCCUGAAGCUACUUCCCACUCUGUGACUUUAGGGUCCAUAGAAUUAUGGACCUGGAUACUGGAUGGCAGAUGUGAAAUCCCUUCUUCUUAUUCAAUGCUUAUGCAAAUAUGUGCUAUUGUCAUUGCAAACAUGGUAUGUGCCCUGGAGGGGAACAAUGACUCCAUUAAAUUUUCUGGCCCUGGAAUUCCGUAAAGGAAGUAGUCCAUGGCCCUAGCCCAGGUUUUUCAGCCUCCACACUAUUGCCCAGUAGGCCCUGGAGAUGCCCUGUGUGGGGCCCUGUGCCCAGAGCGGCAUCCCUGGGCUCCACCCUGCAGGUGCCCUGGAUAUCAGCAGAAACUCCCACCAAGUCCUGACAAUAGAAAGUGUCUCCAGACAUGCCCAAGUGUCCCUCGGGGGCAAAACCACCAGUUUGGGAGACCCUGCCUAGGAAAGGUUUUUGUCUUGCUUUUUGUAGAGAGGCCACACAGUGAGAGGCUUCUCAGAAAGAAGGCGCAGUUCCCAGUGCUCAUUAACCUACAGAUUCAAUGACCAAUUCACUGCAGAGGGCAUCCAAAGGUUCUCGAACACAGAAGUUAGGAAAUGACCAUGAGAUAACAAACGGGGCUCUAUUUUGUAAAGGGGGUGCAGCCCGAUUUGGGAUUGCUAAUAAAAGACAAGUAAGUCUUUCAACUCGAUU
rnacentral:lncRNA from 1 species